UACGUAGGGUGCGAGCGUUAAUCGGAAUUACUGGGCGUAAAGCGUGCGCAGGCGGUUUUGUAAGCCAGAUGUGAAAUCCCCGGGCUUAACCUGGGAAUGGCAUUUGGGACUGCAAGGCUUGAGUGCGGCAGAGGAGACUGGAAUUCCUGGUGUAGCAGUGAAAUGCGUAGAUAUCAGGAGGAACACCGAUGGCGAAGGCAGGUCUCUGGGCUGACACUGACGCUCAUGCACGAAAGCGUGGGGAGCAAGCAGG
rnacentral:rRNA from 1 species